rnacentral:rRNA from 1 species
UACAGAGGGUGCAAGCGUUAAUCGGAAUUACUGGGCGUAAAGGGCGCGUAGGUGGUUUUUUAAGUGAGAUGUGAAAUCCCCGGGCUUAACCUGGGAAUGGCAUCUUAUACUGGAGAGCUGGAGUGCAGUAGAGGGUAGUGGAAUUUCCGGUGUAGCGGUGAAAUGCGUAGAUAUCGGAAGGAACACCAGUGGCGAAGGCGGCUACCUGGACUGACACUGACACUGAGGCGCGAAAGCGUGGGGAGCAAACAGG